CUCUCUGCAUGGAGACUGUACUUCUCCUGAGCUGCUACCAGUCAUAGGAAGGGCCACACAUAUAGAGCUUGAGAGGCAGCCAAGGAACCCACUCUGGGUGCUUGUCUCCAUUCUACUGUGCCACUCUGUUGUAAAACAAUUCUUGUUUAACCUAACAUGCCUUACUGUGCAUUGAAAUGGAGGAGAGUUGCCCAUCUUGGCAUUGCUGCAAUCUGCAAAGAGAGAUCUGCUAGGAGUUGAAGGCCAAAGACAGCCCAGACUUGAGCUCUUUGAGGCAGGCUGAUUUGCAGAGGAGUAACCAUGAAAAAUACUUUGCUCUCAAGUAGAAAAGCGAAGAUUUCAAGUACUUUCCAAGGAGGGGAAAAAAAAAAAAACCAACAAAAACCAAACAUAACAAAUGUAGUUGUUAGAGACUUGUACCAGAAAAGCAAUAAAACUAAAACAGCGUUUUAAAGCAUGCAUUAAAUCAUUAGUUGCAAAUCUUGCUGCUGACUUCUCUAACAUCAGUUCUGAUUAGUAAGACAUUCUCUCAGGCUGGUUAAGAAAAGAUCAUUGCUUAUCCAAAAGAAACAUUGGCUGUGGAUCUGUUGGCAAUAAAUAAAUAAAUCUGAGGUGUGUUACUUAUUUCUCAACUAAGUUAGGAUUUUUUUUUGCCCUUUUUGGAAAGUAUUUUUAACUAUAAAUAUUGUACUUUAAAAUUGAGAACCUGCUGUCUGCAGUCUGGCUUUCUGUUAUCUCGGGAAUCACUGCAUAUAACUGUAGUUCACCAAAUGGCUGACAUCCAGGGCAGGUUAUAUUUGGAUUUCCACUGUUAUCUUCCAUUUUCUCAUGCUUCAUCUUUCUUCAAACCUGUAGCUCCUUUGGGGUGAGAACUUUCAUAUUUGCCUUCAGUGCCGAGUGUUUGUGGGAGAGCUUGAAGGAGUAGGGCUGCUUGUUACAGCUACCCCCAAGUGUGGAAACGUUGUUAUCAAACGUUGUGGUCUUUGUUGUAGUAUUUUGCUAUUCCUGAAAGCUGUUUCUCUAUUAAAUGCCUUUACGUUGGACAAUGCUAGAAAUCUUGUUACCAGAACAACAACAACAAAAACAAACAAACAAAAAACAUUGUGCUUUAGCAGAAAGCAUUUUGGUGAUACUGUCUUCCUGAACUAAAUCUGGUAUUACUUAACUGAGUGAUUUCCUCUUUCAUCCCUCAUGUAUCCCCAUGUGAAUGUCACCAUCAGUGUUCCCAUCUGAAGUGCUGCUUUGGAGCACAGUACCACUUUGCUCUGACCCUUGCUUUUCAGCAUGUCCAAGUUGACAGUCCUCCCUUCUCCAGGCUGGAAUAAAAUACCAAAUAUAUUUCCAUUUUAGACUUGUGAGUUACAGUUACUCAUGUUGGACUUCCACAUGUGUGUGUAGUAUCUCACUGAUUUCAACAGCUUUGGCAAUCAGCCUUGCAAUGUUCCACCCUUUGAAAUAAAGGUCCUGCUUUUAGAAAGUUACUCCAGGACCACCUUGCACAGUGCUCUAUCUCAUAGACAAUGUGGAUGCUCAGAGGAUUUCUGUUCGUGGCGUCUGCUUGGCAGAACAAAGAAUAAAAAAUAACAGUACUGCCUAAUCUGUUGGGAAGACAGAAACCAAAGAAACCAGACAGACUUGGGCAAGAGCUUCUACAUACUUUCACAUUAGAAAAUCUACCUGGGAUAUAUGCUGAUACCGAUCUGUUCAAUGUCAGCCCUACAAUUACACCUUCUACUGAUUUUCUUCCCCACAUGGCAGCUUCACCGAAUGUUAGGAGCUUAGCUUUGCUGUGGGCUCUUUCAUGCUGGAG
ensembl:lncRNA